rnacentral:rRNA from 1 species
UCCCUUCGGGGACAUUGGUGACAGGUGGUGCAUGGUUGUCGUCAGCUCGUGUCGUGAGAUGUUGGGUUAAGUCCCGCAACGAGCGCAACCCUUGUCUUUAGUUGCCAUCAUUAAGUUGGGCACUCUAGAGAGACUGCCAGGGAUAACCUGGAGGAAGGUGGGGAUGACGUCAAAUCAUCAUGCCCCUUAUGCUUAGGGCUACACACGUGCUACAAUGGGUAGUACAGAGGGUUGCCAAGCCGUAAGGUGGAGCUAAUCCCUUAAAGCUACUCUCAGUUCGGAUUGUAGGCUGAAACUCGCCUACAUGAAGCUGGAGUUACUAGUAAUCGCAGAUCAGAAUGCUGCGGUGAAUGCGUUCCCGGGUCUUGUACACACCGCCCGUCACACCACGGAAGUUGGAGACGCCCGAAGCCGACUAUCUAACCUUUUGGAAGAAGUCGUCGAAGGUGGAAUCAAUAACUGGGGUGAAGUCGUAACAAGGUAGCCGUAUCGGAAGGUGCGGCUGGAUCACCUCCUUUCUAAGGAGA